GUUUUAAAUAUAUAGUUUCUAUUUUAGUGUUAUAUAUUGUGUAAUUGUGUAAUUAUAUAAUAUCAUUAUUUAUAUUUCUUAUUCGAUAUUAUUUAUACAUAGUGAUUUGUUUAAUAUAUUUUACUUUGCUAUUAUUUUAUUACUUACGAAUAUAUUUUUGAGAUAUGUACAAUAUAUAACAAUCUGAAAUAAUCAAAUAGAAAACCUCCUCCAAAAUAUGUUUUUUUCUUUAAUUUAUACAUUUUGCAUAUAAUACAUUUUUAAAAUUGAUUUGUUUAUAUCAUGGAAAAUAUAUAUGUUUAAGAUAAUUUAAAUUUAGAUGUUGUGUUUAAAAACUAUACUUUAACAUAUUUCAUUUUAGUAUUUUACAAAAUUUAUAAGUAAAAAACACUAUUUUGUUUAAAUAAUUGGGCUUUUUGCAAAUAUGACUCAAAACUUGAAGUCAAACACAAAACCAAUCCAUGUUUUUUUUGGAGCUUUGACUUGCCUCUUUCACCUCCAAAGUUCAGAUAAUUCACGAAAAUGCCAUCACUUUUUUUUUCGAAAAUGCAUAUUUUACUCUAUCACCCUCAUCUUCCUCAAGUAUUCACAAUAUUGUCAUUGCCAUCAAUACACCAACCACUAUGAA
rnacentral:lncRNA from 1 species